AGGCCAAUCGUCGCUAGAACUGCAGCCCGCCCAUUUUAUGGCUACGCCCACACCGGCAUUACCUCAGGGCUGGGGUUGAGUAGGGAUCUGAAAUUUUGCUGGGACGGUGCUGGAUUUUGAGGCGGUAUUGGCUGAUUCUGAGGGAACGGCGCUGGUCAAACUAGAUGUGACUGGAAGACAACACAGGUCCUAGAGAUCUCCGGCUGGACCCUAAAGUACUAUCCAUCACAUAUCAUUGCUGCACACUUUCUCUGUAAUCCAAGAUGAAAAAUGAGAAGUUGAUCAUGUUGACAGCCCCAGAACAUCCAAGAAAGACUCCUACAUCACCACUGUGUAGUUCUGAGAGAAUAAAACUAGGUUUUUCUGGCCACUAAAAGAGGAGACAAAUACACUACUUGGAGCCUGAAACUCUAUUAAGUACCGCAAUGCAGGCACAUAUUUCAGUAAAUGGAGAUGGGCAGUUAGGUCAUGCCUGAGUGUGCAUGCUUGGUUAAGUUGAUGCUGAUAUGCUGCCUCCUUCCAUGGUUGAUAUCAACAUUAAAUGACUCAUUUGCACAAACUUGCAUCUGUUAUUUAUGCUGAUUGCAUCAUCCUGACAGUAAAGCACAAUUACUCCACCACUAUCAGUGCUUUCCUCUCCCACUUCAGCCAGAAGAUCAAAAUACCUUCAGUCUUGGAAUCCAAAAUCCCUGGGAGCUGCUCAAAAAGGACACACAUUUCUGUAGCUGGCAGGCAUGAAAUGACUCCACUCAAAACCCUGCUGUAACACAAUGCUCUGAUUUUACUUUAGAACAUCACCUGGAAAAAAGGCAUAAUGUGAGGUAAAAGUGAAGCUUGUGGGCACUGUGGUGGUGUGUUGGCACUCAGAUGCUUUGGAGGCAGACUUUUGCCCUGGUGUGCUUAUUUGCUGAACUUUGUCUGCCAGCUGUAGUGGGCAGGACUCAUGACUGCAGUUUCCUGCCACAACAAAUUGUUUAUCAGCUGCAUAAAAGGCAGGAGCCUCACUGGUGUGAGCCUUGACAUCCCAAAUGCAGUCUGGAAGCAUGACUCCAGCAAUACAUGACAUCCUGAGACUCUGCAGAUGUGUAAGAAAUCUCUGGGCCUGCUAAAGCAUUCCCCUUGUUCCUUCAUCACCAGUCCUAACCUUCAUGGCUGUCCACAUGCAGCAUGCUGCAGCAGAAGACCAUGGCAGCUCUGCAAGCUCAAUUGCUGGUAGGAACCUAAAAUCUUCCCAUUUGCAGGGAGCUUUCAAGUCUAUCUCACAGGGACACACCUU